rnacentral:lncRNA from 1 species
AAAUAAUUCCGAUGCAUUUAAUCCGCAAUUUUCAAAAUGCACAAGCUCUAUACAGUGUUCUUGAAUUUUAGAUACAUUCAUUCAUUUUCAUUAUCUUGCAUUAACUGCGGUGCACGAAGAGAACGUGUAUACCCGGUGCAUACAACAGUUUCUCCUCAGCGAGCAUGACGCGUCAUCUGGUACACGUGUCAGAAACUCGACACGUCGCGGUCGGUCCCGGGCAGCUCGGGCAGGGCUCGGCCCCCUGCCCGAGCAGCUCUCACGAGAAAAACAACAACAACGCCCAUUUUUGAUUUCAAAAAAAUAAAAAAAGAAAUUAAAAAUCCCGAAUAUUUAGUUCCUUUUUUUUUUAUUUAUUUUUUUUCCGUUCGUCUCCUAUAAAAAAACAAAAAGGAAAAAAAACCCCCUCUCGGAAUGGACCUCUCCAACGCCUGGGAUUACUGCUCCCAACCCCACCCUCCCAAUAACCUGGUCGAGGACGAUGGACGGCGGAGAUGCGACGCGGACACGUGGGAGGGCGCCGGGCCGUUGAUGGCGGACGGCGAGGCAGGCGACGCUUCCGUGAAAUGCCGUGAGAACCGCCGCCGCAGGAUCGAGAUGCGGCGGUUCGCCACCGUCGCCGCCGGCGAGGAGAACCUCCGAAAGCGCGGCGAUCCGGACGAUCCCGACGCGCCGGACCCGGAGCCCGAGAAGCGGAUCCGUACGGCGGCCGCGCGCGGCUCUCCACCUCCGCCGGCG